UUCGAACCUGCCCGCUAGAGUCUGUUAGAGGGGGGUAGAAUUCCAGGUGUAGCGGUGAAAUGCGUAGAGAUCUGGAGGAAUUACCGGUGGCGAAGGCGGCCCCUGGACCAAAGAACUGACGCUCAGGGUGCGAAAGCGUGGGGGAGCAAAACAGGAUUAGAUACCCUGGUAGUCCACGCCGUAAACGAUGUCGACUUGGAGGUUGUGCCCUUGAGGCGUGGCUUCCGGAGCUAACGCGUUAAGUCGACCGCCUGGGGAGUACGGCCGCAAGGUUAAAACUCAAAUGAAUUGACGGGGGCCCGCACAAGCGGUGGAGCAUGUGGUUUAAUUCGAUGCAACGCGAAGAACCUUACCUACUCUUGACAUCCAGAGAACUUUCCAGAGAUGGAUUGGUGCCUUCGGGAACUCUGAGACAGGUGCUGCAUGGCUGUCGUCAGCUCGUGUUGUGAAAUGUUGGGUUAAGUCCCGCAACGAGCGCAACCCUUAUCCUUUGUUGCCAGCGGUUAGGCCGGGAACUCAAAGGAGACUGCCAGUGAUAAACUGGAGGAAGGUGGGGAUGACGUCAAGUCAUCAUGGCCCUUACGAGUAGGGCUACACACGUGCUACAAUGGCGCAUACAAAGAGAAGCGACCUCGCGAGAGCAAGCGGACCUCAUAAAGUGCGUCGUAGUCCGGAUUGGAGUCUGCAACUCGACUCCAUGAAGUCGGAAUCGCUAGUAAUCGUAGAUCAGAAUGCUACGGUGAAUACGUUCCCGGGCCUUGUACACACCGCCCGUCACACCAUGGGAGUGGGUUGCAAAAGAAGUAGGUAGCUUACCUCGGGAGGGCGCUACCACUUUGAUCAUGU
rnacentral:rRNA from 1 species